rnacentral:ribozyme from 1 species
UGCCGUCUGAAAAGUUUUCUCUUCCGCCAGAAGCCGAAAUAACUUCAUUCCAAA